rnacentral:rRNA from 1 species
CCUACGGGGGCUGCAGUGGGGAAUAUUGGACAAUGGGCGAAAGCCUGAUCCAGCCAUGCCGCGUGUGUGAAGAAGGCCUUCGGGUUGUAAAGCACUUUCAGUGGGGAAGAAAGCCUUGGGGCUAAUACCCUCGAGGAAGGACAUCACCCACAGAAGAAGCACCGGCUAACUCCGUUCCAGCAGCCGCGGUAAUACGGAGGGUGCGAGCGUUAAUCGGAAUUACUGGGCGUAAAGCGCGCGUAGGCGGUCUGAUAAGCCGGUUGUGAAAGCCCCGGGCUCAACCUGGGAACGGCAUCCGGAACUGUCAGGCUAGAGUGCAGGAGAGGAAGGUAGAAUUCCCGGUGUAGCGGUGAAAUGCGUAGAGAUCGGGAGGAAUACCAGUGGCGAAGGCGGCCUUCUGGACUGACACUGACGCUGAGGUGCGAAAGCGUGGGUAGCAAACAGGAUUAGAUACCCCUGUAGUC